rnacentral:rRNA from 1 species
GACAGAGGUGCCGAGCGUUAGGCGGAAUCACUGGGCUUAAAGCGUGUGUAGGCGGAUCGUUAAGUACCUUGUGAAAUCCCACGGCUUAACCGUGGAACUGCUGGGUAUACUGGCGAUCUUGAGGUGCUCAGGGGCGAGCGGAACAGAUGGUGGAGCGGUGAAAUGCGUAGAUAUCGGGGAGGAACACCUGUGGCGAAAGCGGCUCUCUGGACCACAACUGACGGCUGAGGCGCGAAAGCUAGGGGAGCAAACAGG